rnacentral:rRNA from 1 species
UACAGAGGGGGCAAGCGUUGUUCGGAAUUACUGGGCGUAAAGGGCGCGUAGGCGGCCCGCUAAGUCGAACGUGAAAUCCCCGAGCUCAACUCGGGAACUGCGUCCGAUACUGGUGGGCUUGAAUCCGGGAGAGGGAUGCGGAAUUCCAGGUGUAGCGGUGAAAUGCGUAGAUAUCUGGAGGAACACCGGUGGCGAAGGCGACACGCUGGGCCAUACCUGACGCUAAAGCGCGACAGCAUGGGGAGCAAACGGG